GUGGGGAAUCUUGCGCAAUGGGCGAAAGCCUGACGCAGCCAUGCCGUGUGAAUGAUGAAGGUCUUAGGAUUGUAAAAUUCUUUCACCGGGGACGAUAAUGACGGUACCCGGAGAAGAAGCCCCGGCUAACUUCGUGCCAGCAGCCGCGGUAAUACGAAGGGGGCUAGCGUUGCUCGGAAUUACUGGGCGUAAAGGGCGCGUAGGCGGAUCGUUAAGUCAGGGGUGAAAUCCCAGAGCUCAACUCUGGAACUGCCCUUGAUACUGGCGAUCUUGAGUGUGAGAGAGGUAUGUGGAACUCCGAGUGUAGAGGUGAAAUUCGUAGAUAUUCGGAAGAACACCAGUGGCGAAGGCGACAUACUGGCUCAUUACUGACGCUGAGGCGCGAAAGCGUGGGGAGCAAACAGGAUUAGAUACCCUUGUAGUCC
rnacentral:rRNA from 1 species